UUAAGGACGCCGUGAUUUCUAAGGGGAAACCCUUGAUCUUGGAGAAGGUUAGGGUUUGGGUGCAGAGCAUGGCUAGAGGAAGUCCUAUUAAGGACGAAUUGGAAAACAAGAAGCCAUUGUCGUCUCCCUCACCAUCAGUGGCGCGAACGACACUGUAUCCGUCAUUGUCCACGUCCACCACUACUGCACUGAAGAACGAAACUUUGGCGUCUACGAAGAAGAAGAAGAAGGGAGUGAAGAGUUUUAGGUCGAAGGACUUGUGUGAGAUAUUGAUGGAUGAGAAUAGAUGAAUUUAUUGUGUUCCUGAACAGGUGUAUAAACGAGAUGGAAAUCAGCAAGAUUCAGGAAUCAAUUGCAAAAGCAGCUUAAGGCCAUAAAGAAGUUUGUCUUGUAGCCAAUUUGUUUCUACUUUCUAAGAGCAAGAAAAGCAAUGAUGUCACUAUAUGUUGAUA